AGCCAUGCUGCAAAUUCUGUGGUGUGUAGCGGUUGGGUGGGUCGAGUUGUCUCCCCACACGGUGUAAGGUUGGUACGGGGGUGUAUACGGUUGGAUAUGGUUGGGUUUCUGCAUAAACAUGUAAUCCCCAACCAUAGUGGGCUUGGAGCUGUGAGGGAAUUCGGAGUGGCCACCUGUUCUGAAAGUUUGAUUUUCUUCUGGUGAACUGGACAUCCUUUUAUUUACGUUUGAAGUUUUGGGUUUUUAAAUGUAAUAAGGCCGCUUAUUUAUUUUUGAUGGUUUUUUUAUAUGUAUUAUUAAGAUAGGUAAUACUUAUUUUAACUGUUGAAAUUGGAUAGCUUUAGGGCGCGUUUUCAAAAACAA